GUGUUCUUCAUCCCCAAAAGGCAACCAGAAGCAGCAAUGGGUAUCGAUCUAAUUGCCGGUGGCAAGAGCAAGAAGACCAAGCGUACCACCCCAAAAUCAAAUGAUAUUUACCUCAAGAUUCUCGUCAAGAGGACUGGAAGCAAGUUUAAUGCAGUGAUACUGAAGAGUCUGUUCAUGAGUAAGGUGAACAAGGCACCGAUGUCUCUCUCUAGAUUGAUUCGCUACAUGGAAGGAAAGGAUGAUGAGAUAUAGCUGUGCUUGUGGGAACAAUUACUGAUGAUACUAGUGUUUAUGAGGUCCCGACUCCCGACACUGAAGGUGGCUGCUCAGAGGUUCACGCAAAGGGCGAGGGCGAGGAUUUUGAAGGCCGGUGGAGAGUGCUUGACUUUCGGCCAGUACCUCCUAGUUCAGAUGAAUCGAGGCAAGGGUGACAAGGGAUUUGGGUGACGCUGAGUAUAAUUUGGUAUUAUACAAGGGAUGUCUCUUUAAUAGUG